GGUAGCGCCUUGGUGAAUAAGUC
rnacentral:siRNA from 1 species